GCAGAUCUGCAGUGAUAAACAUCAGGGAUCUGGUAAUUAGUCCAUAAGUAUCCCUCAAAGGAUGAGGCUCAUUUGCUACACUACAGGCUAUGGCCUUCAUCAGAAGGUCCCAAAGACAAGAGACAUGAAACUCCUGUGCAAAGGACAGCAGGAUAAGCAUGAGGCAGAUGUUCCUUAUUGCAGAGUUGUGGUCCAUGCACCAUGGCAGCCAAAUGCCGAUAGGUAGAACCUAAAAUGCUUUUCUUCCUCUUUCUGUCUAGUGCUUGAUGGCUACCCUGCUUGCUAAGAGCCAUGUCUGUGUUCUUUCCCCAACACAUACCUAGUUCAUCUGUGUCCUACCACCUAGAAAAUUUCCUGUUGUGUGUCAAAGCUACCCAAACCUUCAUGGUGACUGAAUUUCCUCCCAGCUGUUCCCAAAGGCAAAGCAGCAACGGAUAUGAAGUAAGGAAUAUGCAUCCCCACGUAGCCUCCUGCAUCAGAGUACCAUGGCACAGUAUGACCCUGGAAUGAACCUAGAGGCUGACAGUCAAGACAGUAGGUAGACAUGAUUUCCAAAAUGACACCCAUGAGUCUUCAGUCACACAGAUAGUUACAGAGCAAAGCAAUGUUGAAACAUUAGAAAUGAUGCAGCCCAAGUGAAGCUGGUAGGAAAUGGGAGGUAAAAUAGAAGGUGGGAUAUGAACUGGAGUCAUAACUGUUAAAGAAACACACAGACACUUGCGGUUACAGCGAGUUAGGUUCUUACUGUGUGCAUGAUCUAUCUAUUGCGUCUGUAAAGAUCUUUUGCAGGUUUGUAGUUUCUCUACUGUUCAACUAUUAUGUUCCCUUAACAUCUUUUUCCACACUGUCUGCCACCAGUGCUGUGACAGGGCCAGUCUCUUUUUUCUCUACUUACUUAUAGAAACAGGACUUAAUUUUCCAGAAAGUGCCCAAAGACCAUCCAGUCACUGUGUGUGAGUUGAAAAAGGGCAUAUCCAUUGUCUGCUAGAAGAUUCUUCAUCCUUUAAAAACACAAGUACCCAGUGACACAACUCACUUCAGACAAAGAACGAUGCCUCAGACCAGACAGGCUUGUUGGUCUCAGCAUUAAGCCAGCAGAAAUCCUUCACUUUGUUCUGACAUUUCCAGCAGGUGCUCUGGCAGACGAGGUGCUAGCCUUAGAAACCAAAAGCAGGAUUCCCCUCAAGCUGAUCUGUGGCUCACCCUAAGCACACUCUUGGAGCCAGGAGCUCUUAUUUGCCGUGUAUCUGGCAGAGAAGAGGUGGAGUCUCCAGUGCCCUGAAGCCCAGCUUCCCAGGUACAUACCAGACCCUGCCCCUGGCAGGGACCUGGCUCUGUCAGGUGUGCUGGGACCCAGCCAGGUUGUCUGAGUCAGCCCAAGAGAAAUGCCAUCAUCUCUUCCUCUUUGCAGGUCCACAGUUUGUGUAUUAGGAGGAAGAGAAACUCAUCUUAAAACGAGUGCUAACCCUAGCAUUGGGCAGUCUGCUGUUACUGCAUGCAGGGACUUCUCGGGGAGAAGAGCAAAAUGGUGAGUAGGAGUUGGUUGGCUUUGUUUGGAUGGAAGCAGUGAGAGGACGAGGACGUCAGAGAGCAGAAGAGGUGAGGCCACUGAACUGGUUAUCUAUCGGUUGAAAAGCUCCCUGGGGUGUUUAACCCUCCCAUUCUCUGCCCUGACCAGAUCAGUCAAGCUGAUUGUUUGCUGUGCAUUUCCUUAUGGUGCAACAGAUAGGUUCAGAUAUCUGCUUGGAUUUUAACAUCUGCCCCAGCUUUUCUGUCCUGGAGGUAUUGCCUGGUCUUAGGACAGUUGGAGCAAAGAGGAGACUGAUGCCCUGGAUCAUGAAGUGGACCCUUCAGGAGAUUUCUUGUCCUGGGAGCUGAAACACACUGGUAUCUGUUUAAAAAUGGCCAGGUGAGAGUGGCUGAGAGUAAAACCUCCCUUCUCCCAGCAGCUAGCUGACUCUGGGCUAAAGCAACAUUCUCCUCUGAAAUGUAAUAAUGAACUAAUUCCAUGAGCAUUCACUGAUCAACAGAAGACUUAUGGGAGUGCAGCACAAAGUUACUUGUUAAUGGCAUACAAACAGAAAUAAUAUAUUAAUGGCUUUGAUCUCUCUAACCUCUGCUGGUCUUCUCUCACUUCCCCCUGUUGGUCCCCUUGGGAUCUCCCUUUGUCUCUCUUCCUCAGCCCUACCCAGUGAAUGGCCUGUGCCAGCUCCAUACAAGAACUGACGAAUCAACAUCCUAGACGGCAGGAAGGACAUGAAUAUGAAUCAUCCCCUCCCAGACCUCCAGAGGACUUUUAUAUGACCAUGAUGCAGGGGAUAACAAGUAUCUAUGUAAAUGAAGAUCAAGACAAACACCUCAAACUGAACAUCCAGACGCAACCAAGGCCCAUGAGAGGGCCCAGAAGAGAGUCGCCUGUGGUGGAAUAUUUUUAUGAAAACCAUCCAGUCUCCAAAUGAAAGAAAAGCACCAAAUUGUAUCUGGGGCCAGAAAUAACAACCAGAAAUAACAACAAGACACAACCCUUUUCCUGGACACCAGGGGUCACACGGUUGCAGAUUAUGAACAAGAGACUUUUCUCUUUGAGCCUACAUGAAAUUCUAUAGAGACCAAGACUAAAAGCAAUUGGAUGGAGAAAGAACUUGUUUGCAAUCGUGCCUCUGAGAUGUAGAAGCAAAAUCAGAUUCCAUUGGAG